UCAAAUCUAAAUGAUUAAUGUUAAUGGAAUAAGUCAUACGAAGUUUCUACGUGAAGGAGAAGUAUCGAUCAAAAUUUUGAUUUCUAUGUAUUUUUUUUUUUUCUAUAGUUGACAAAUCCAGAUAUGAUCAUCUAACAUAUGUAUUUAUAUAGAUGGUGUGAUGUAUCUAUCAGGUCCACCAAUUUUUUGCAAAUCUCAUAUGUAAUGUAGUAAUGUAAAUAUACACAAAGGUAUGUAUAAUAUGAGUAUAAUGCGUGUGCCAAAUAUUAAUGUAUAGAGAAUAAUGAUGCGACAUAGGAUGCUUCUGAGUUCUGACAUAUGUAUAUAUUUCGAG
rnacentral:lncRNA from 1 species